UGUUCCCCAUUAAAUCAACUUUCACUGCACAAGGAUGAAUUUCCAUAACAAGCAAAACAUUAACUACAUACACUGUGUUUCUCAGAGUCAAGACAGAACCCCUUCCUCCCCCUUUUCAAGACAAAAACUAUGGUUUUUGAAAAGUUUUUGUAAUUUCAUACUUCAUUUUUAGAAAAUAACAAGCAGUCCACAUGAAUAAUUGGGUGGGGAUUGUUCCAUACAAAAUGCUUUAUUUAUCCUUCAUGCCUCCAUUCAGAUAUUUAUACCAAUGCAUACAUUUAAAGGUUUAAACUCUAUUUCAAUUCACAGCUCAAUUCAUAGAAAAAGUUGAAUACAUAAAAGCAAUGCACCAACAGAAUUUAUGUCUGAGACACCAUUAAAAACGUUAACACUUAUUCAUGAAGUAAUUGUCCUCCAAUGGGAUUUCUUUAAGGGGACUCCCUUUACAAUGAUGAUUGGGCAAACAAAAUAAAGAAAAAACACUGUUUUACAGUAAAGAAGAGGAAAAGCUCUGAGUAUAUUUACAAUACAUACACUAUACAUAAAUACAAGAACAACACGUACAUAAUCAUUAAUGAACUUAUAACAUAGGUGUUGCUUAAUUGCUAUGUAGCAUAUAAAUGCACAGGGAGGAAACUAUUGGGAAAUUAAAAGCAUUUCUUUUCUUUUCUUUUUUUAAUGGAAAAAAAGAAGUAUGUUUGCACUUAAAACCAUCUGAAAUAUAAUGAAGAAAAAUGGAAGGAGCUACAGUUCCACGUGCUAGCACUGGCUUAUUUAAUUUGAUGGAUGCUUUGGGAUAUAUGGACACUUAGCUCACUGGCUAAUGUCUGCUGUUGUCAUAUACUAGAAAAGAGAACUGAAUGCUGUUGUAACUCAAGAAAUUGUGGUGAUGCUUCUGUCCUGUUUUGUGGAGAAGAUAACAAUGAUAUGAUAUUGCUUAUAAAGAUCCUCACCACCCCUGCUCUGAUUCCAAUAUUAAUGUUUUGAAAUAUGCUUCAUUUUCAAAGAAGAUUUUCCAGUCAGCAUGGCAGGACUGAUGUUUAAGGGCAGAAACAAAUGAGAUGGCAACUUCACAAUUAGAAAGUAAUAAAAUGUUACCCCUCCAAAUAAGCA
rnacentral:lncRNA from 1 species